CCUCCACAAAAAAAUUAUGACAAACAUAAACACUAUUACUACAAAUAAAAUAACCCACUCCCCAUUCUAUAAUCCCCCACAGACCAAAUGGAAAAAAAAUAAAAAAGAAACUUCUUCUCCUUGCCAUGGCGGUCGUGAACAACCAUCAGUAGCAGAGACCCAACUCCAAAAACGCCUUCAAAAUCAAAUUAAGCUUCAAGGGAGAUGGCUUUAGAGGCUUUCAUUGAUUCCAAAUAUCCAUUUGCAUUCUGUUCCAUGACAUCAACCCCAGUGACUGGAGACUUGGCACAACCUUCAAAUUCUGAUAAUGUACAACAUAAAGAUGAGCAGUUUCAGGCUGUGGUAGCUUCUCUCUUUGGUGCAUCCUCGGGAAAUUUUCUUGGUAUUUCAGCAAACAUUCCACACUCAAAUGUGGGUGUUGUCUCUGCCAGCACAAAUCCGACUGCUUUAAAUGGUUUGACCAACUUGGGAUUGAGAAUUGGGGAUAGUUCUUCACUUGCUGGGGUCAACUCAGCUGGUCUGAAAUUUCCUGAUAUGUAUAGAAGUUCCAAUGCUGACAUAGAUCACCUUAAUUUACCGGCAUUACCACUGUUUUCCUCACAUAAUUCAAGCAUUUCAGGAUCCUCCACUAAUAGUGAUUUAUCUGUAGCACAACUAGAUUCCCAUUUAGGCAGAAACCGCUCACAAGCGAGGAAGAAGAAAUGCCAGCAAAGAUGCUUCACUACCAAAUCUCAGUCUGGAUUGCAAAAGAGUCAGAGGGCACUCCUAAAUGCUGAAGAACAGGAGCUUUCUACCUCAAAUAAGACGCAUAAAAGACCCAGAUUAGACAUUAAACAAGAUGCUGCUUUACACCAGCAGGCCAUUCAGCGACAACGGCAGAGUCGAGACAAAAUGCAAUUGCAAAGUCAUUCUCCAAUGCUAGACGCAUUAGAUCAGCAGCAUGAGCUAGAAAAUCAGCGGCAGCAAAAGAUUUUGCAGUCAGUUCCAGAGUUACGAGGAGUUGACAUGAAGAACCAGAGGCAGCAACAAAUGAGGGAGUACCUCCAACAGCUGGCAGAUCAACAAGUAUAUCGUAUGCACCCUUGCAGUGGUAAUGUAUGUUCACGCCGGCUGACACAGUACAUGUAUCAUCUGCAGCAUCGCCCACCUGACAAUAGUAUUGCCUACUGGAGGAAAUUUGUGGCAGAGUAUUAUUCGCCUCGCGCAAAGAAAAGAUGGUGCUUGUCAUUAUACGAUAAUGUUGGGCAUCAUGCACUUGGUGUUUUCCCUCAAGCAGCUAUGGAGGCAUGGCAGUGUGAUAUGUGUGGUUCUAAGUCUGGAAGAGGAUUUGAGGCCACUUUCGAAGUACUUCCUAGACUAGAUGAAAUCAAAUUUGGCAGCGGUGUCAUUGAUGAGCUUUUGUUUUUGGACUUGCCACGUGAAUUUAGAUUUCCUUCUGGAAUAAUGAUGCUAGAGUAUGGAAAAGCAGUUCAAGAGAGUGUAUAUGAGCAACUUCGUGUUGUUCGUGAGGGUCAGCUUCGUAUCAUAUUCACCCAUGACUUGAAGAUUUUGUCUUGGGAAUUUUGUGCUCGGCGACAUGAAGAACUUCUCCCACGAAGGGUGGUUGCACCACAGGUACUAUUUUGAGUAUUUAGUCUCCUGCUUUAACAUUGUUGCCCCAAAUGAUGUGUUGCAUUUACAGUCUGGUAUUUCUGAUUCUCUUGUUCACCGGAAUCUUUAAGUGGAAGCUCUUUUUAUGUUUCUGAAGAAAGAAAAUAAUCUGGAUUAUUCAUUAAUUCUCUCAGAUAAACAUUUUAGGGUCAAAAUUGAUCUGAAAACCUAAAGGUCAAAAUUGCUUCAUUUUCCAAAUUUGGAUUAUGUACCUUGGUAAAACUUUUAAGGAAUCUGCACAUCUGAGGCAUUAUUUUGAAAAAUUUUAGUUUAAUAUGCAGAUUUUUUUUGAUGAGCAUGCUUGAUUGAAUUUUUUUCAGAGAAACAGGAAUACGCUUAUUUUCAUUUCCAGCAACUAUAGCUUUCUGGAGUAGAUAGGAGAAGCAAAGAGAGGGUGAAAUGAUGUGUCAGCCGUUUUGUACUUGUCUAAUAAAUGAAGCAACUUUUGUUAUUUAAUCUUCUACACUAUUAAGUUUGAAAUAAAAUACUGAAGCCUUUGUUAUCUAUUUAAGUGGAGUUCCCUUUUGCUUUCACAGGUGAGUCAGUUGGUUCUGGUUGCUCAGAAAUGCCAGAGCACAAUUGCUGAAAGUGUAUCUGAUGGGGUUUCUCAGCAGGACUUGCAAACAAACAGCAAUAUGUGAGUAAAUUGAUCAAUCACUUGAAUCUUUCCCUUCUCUGGUUGGAUGUUGCUUGUUCAGUUAUUUUUGGCUGAAGUCCUAUGAUUCUUUGAAUGGUAAGAUGCCCUGAGGCACAAAUUAGUGAAAACAGGGAUCAAAUAGAUCCCAUUAUUGAGGCUUACGGGCAAAAUGAGAACCAAUAUGAUGCGCUCUUGGAAUUCCCUUAAGAAAAUGUCGUCUCUGCAAAUGAUUUUAUUUCUCAUAGUUGUAUCUGUGGAGGUUUUUCUGAAAGUCAAUUGUGCAUAUGUGGAACUUGACCCUGGUAUUUCAUUUGUGCACAGUAGAUUCCCUUGUUGGUGCAAUUAGGUUUAGUAGUUAAUACUAAUCCAAUGUGAAUUGUUUUUAAGGGUCCUUACUGCUGGGCGACAGCUUGCAAAGGCUUUGGACUUGCAGUCUGUAAAUGAUUUGGGUUUUUCCAAAAGAUAUGUCAGGUGUUUACAGGUAUUAUUUUACUGGUUUUUGGAUCUGGAUUUCAGUAGUGAAAUGAAAUAAGAUUCUCUUAUGUGCUUCAAUUCUUCUUGUAAGUUCUCACUACCGUUUGUGAUAGAUCUCUGAGGUUGUCAACAGCAUGAAGGAUCUGAUUGAUUUCUGCCGGGAGCAAAAAUUUGGGCCGAUAGGUAAUCCCUUUAUGGCUGGUGUGGGUUAUAUAGGUUUUGCAUGUUAGCUAUUGCUUAUGAUAUGUGGGUAUAUAUAGCUAUUACUUACGAUAUGUGGGUAUAUAUAUUAUGGGCUAUGGGGGUUCAUUUCUGGAGAAAUCUUUUGCACUGAACAAUUCUUAUUGCAAUUAUGCAUUCCAAAAAGGGGAGAUUAUUAGAUACCUGCAACGCAUUACACAUUCACUCGUAUAGAUGUGGGUGUUUCAUGAUUUGUGGAAAGCCCACCAUGUGUGUGAGUGCAAGGUUCGUUAUUUUUUUUAUUGCACUAUGAGCGUUCAAUAAUUUCCCCUAAAACAGCACAAUUUCAAGUACGCUAACUGUGUUGGAAGAUGAAAUUUGUAUUAUUCAUAUGGCACCUCUCCACAGUUUGGAGAGUGAUGUUAAAUUCAUUAGCACUAAAUAUAUUUUUCUUUAUUAUGUGUCUUCCUUAGCAGCUAGGUGUUUUAUGGUUUAAUAUGGAAAUCAUUUAAAAUGCAAUUUUGAAAAUACACAUUUAUUUCCACUGCUUCCCUCUGAUUGACGUAAUUUCAUGUUUUAUUUUUGGCUUUUUUUAUAAAUCUUCUUUGUGGUCAAUUUGAUUCCUACUACUGUAGAAACUAGCUUUCUUUUUCUUAUUUUCUUUAACUCUGUCCAUCUUGCAUUGCUUCAUGUCUGCUUAAAAGUUGGUAUUUAUCUGUUUGAACUCUAGCAACUCCUGCUUUGUUGUUUCUGUGACUGGUUGCUGAUGCAACUAGAGACUCUUAUUUGUACCCUGCAGUAUAUUAAUGGAAAUAUGAUUCCAAUCCUUACAGAGGGCUUGAAAAAUUAUCCUCGUCACAACAGUGUAACCAAAAUCCAGAUGCAAAAGAUGCAGGAAAUGGAGCAGCUAGUGAAUGUUCAGGGCCUGCCAACUGACAGGAACACCCUUAAUAAGCUGAUGGCAUUACAUCCUGGCAUAAACAAUCAUGUGAGCAACAAUAAUCACGUUGUUAGUCGAGGAGCUUUAAGUGGUUCAGCACAGGCUGCUUUGGCACUGACUAACUACCAGAAUCUACUCAUGAGGCAAAACUCUAUUAAUUCGAAUUCUAACUCACUUCAACAAGAGUCUACAUCAUCUUUCAACAGUUCUCAUCAAAGCCCAUCAUCAAACUUCCAAGGAACUGCUGCUUUUGUACCAGGAUCCAUGCAAAGCUUACCUGCAAGUGGCUUUUCAAGUUCACAAAUACCUCCCCAACAGCCACAGCUGCGAACAUUAAGCACUAAUGGCUUACUCCAACAAAACCAUCCAGCGCCCUCUCAAGGCAACCAGGCCAUGCAACAGCAGAUGAUCCAGCAACUGCUGCAGGAGAUGUCUAAUAAUAGUGGGGGAGGAGUUCAACAACAUCCUUUUGCUGGACAGAAUAUGAAUGGGAGUAUGGCAAGUAAUGGAUUGGGUUUCGGAAGCAACUCUUCUGCAGCACCUCCUGCUGCUGCCAUUGUGUCAGGAAGUGUUGCUGGAUCAGCACCAAGUAGGAGCAACAGUUUUAAAGCUGCUUCGAACAGUGAUUCUUCUGCAGCUGGUGGCAAUAGUGGUUUUAAACAGAAAGUGCCAGAAUUGCCUCAGAAUCUCCAUUUGCAGGAUGACAUUGUUCCUGAUAUUGCCCAUGAGUUAACUGAUAAUGGCUUUUUUAAUGGUGACCUUGAUGAUAACAUUGGAUAUGGUUGGAAGGCAUGACUAACAUGGUAUGGCCCAGUCAUUUGCUGUCAUUGAGCAAAUGUUGGCCCGAUAUAUUUGUACAGAAUAUUAAAUAGCUGCUUUGCCCCACCUCGCCUUGCUCUUCUAAUUAUCGAAUUUGUUGGGACAUCAGGGACUUGUAUUUCUAUAGUUAAUUAGCUUCUCUCUGUUUUUGUUUUCUUUUUUCCUUUUCUCUUCUUUUGAGGGCUUUCUUUCAAGUGUAAUCUAUUGGACUAAAACUGGAACAGCGAAUAUGAUAUUUUAAUGAGUUCUGCAAUAUGGGAUUUUAUAACGGACUCGAUAUCUCCUCCUUGCUUGUAUCAAUGAUUUCAAAUAGCUGAUGAGUUGAGGAAGAUUUUUGUUUUACUUGUUGUAGCUGUGUAACCUUUCGCAAAAAAGGAUCGAUCCAAAAUUGUUGGGUUCAUUUUUUUCUUUCUCAGUAUAAUUUUGUUUUUG
rnacentral:misc_RNA from 1 species